GGUUCUGUGCCUAAUGGACAGCGCAUUGGACUUCUAAUGGAAUGUUUCUAGAAGCAAUUCAAAGGGUGUGGGUUUGAGUCCCACCAGAAUCA
rnacentral:tRNA from 1 species